UAACGGCCGCGGUAUUUUGACCGUGCAAAGGUAGCGCAAUCAUUUGUCUUUUAAAUAAAGACCCGUAUGAAUGGCAAGACGAGGGCUUAACUGUCUCCUUUUUCAAGUCAAUGAAAUUGAUCUUCCCGUGCAGAAGCGGGAAUUUCUCCAUAAGACGAGAAGACCCUGUGGAGCUUUAGACACCAAAACAGAUCACGUCAAAACCCCCUUAUAAAGGGCCAAACAGCCGAACCCUGUUUCAAUGUCUUCGGUUGGGGCGACCACGGUGGAACCACAAAACCCCCGCGUGGAAUAAGAGCACCCUCUGCUCUCACACUCAAGAGCCCCCGCUCUAAUAUACAGAACUUCUGACCAACAAGAUCCGGCAACGCCGAUCAACGAACCAAGUUACCCCAGGGAUAACAGCGCAAUCCUCUUUCAGAGCCCAUAUCGAC
rnacentral:rRNA from 1 species